CCUACGGGUGGCAGCAGUAGGGAAUUUUGCGCAAUGGGCGAAAGCCUGACGCAGCAACGCCGCGUGAUCGAGACGCCCUUCGGGGUGUAAAGACCUGUCAGUGGGGACGAAACUUGACGGUACCCACAGAGGAAGCACCGGCUAACUCCGUGCCAGCAGCCGCGGUAAUACGGGGGGUGCAAGCGUUGUCCGGAAUCAUUGGGCGUAAAGAGUUCGUAGGCGGCACGUAAAGUCUGGUGUGAAAGGCAGAGGCGCAACUUCUGUACGGCACUGGAUACUUGCGAGCUGGAAUGCGGUAGAGGUAAAGGGAAUUCCUGGUGUAGCGGUGAAAUGCGUAGAUAUCAGGAGGAACAUCGGAGGCGUAAGCGCUUUACUGGGCCGUAAUUGACGCUGAGGAACGAAAGCCAGGGUAGCAAAUGGGAUUAGAUACCCUAGUAGUC
rnacentral:rRNA from 1 species